rnacentral:rRNA from 1 species
CCCUUAGAUGUUCUGGGCUGCACGCGCGCUACACUGAUGCGCUCAACGAGUUUACGACCUUGCCCGGAAGGGUUGGGUAAUCUUUUUAAAACGCAUCGUGAUGGGGAUAGAUUAUUGCAAUUAUUAAUCUUUAACGAGGAAUUCCUAGUAAGCGCGAGUCAUCAGCUCGUGCUGAUUACGUCCCUGCCCUUUGUACACACCGCCCGUCGCUCCUACCGAUUGAAUGGCUUAGUGAGGCUCCCGGACCGACCGCCAGUGGCUUUACGGCUGCCGAUGGUUGGAAAGUUAGACAAACUUGGUCAUUUAGAGGAAGUAAAAGUCGUAACA